AUUGAACGCUGGCGGCAGGCCUAACACAUGCAAGUCGAGCGGAUGGAGGGAGCUUGCGCCUGGAUUCAGCGGCGGACGGGUGAGUAAUGCCUAGGAGUCUGCCUGGUAGUGGGGGAUAACGUCCGGAAACGGGCGCUAAUACCGCAUACGUCCUGAGGGUGAAAGUGGGGGAUCUUCGGACCUCACCCGUUCAGAUGAGCCUAGGUUGGAUUAGCUAGUUGGUGGGGUAACGGCCUACCAAGGCGACGAUCCGUAACUGGUCUGAGAGGAUGAUCAGCCACACUGGAACUGAGACACGGUCCAGACUCCUACGGGAGGCAGCAGUGGGGAAUAUUGGACAAUGGGCGAAAGCCUGAUCCAGCCAUGCCGCGUGUGUGAAGAAGGUCUUCGGAUUGUAAAGCACUUUAAGUUGGGAGGAACGGCAGUAAGUUAAUACCUUGCUGUUUUGACGUUACCAACAGAAUAAGCCCCGGCUAACUUCGUG
rnacentral:rRNA from 1 species